ACGAACGCUGGCGGCGUGCUUAACACAUGCAAGUCGAACGGAAAGGCCCUGCUUGCAGGGUACUCGAGUGGCGAACGGGUGAGUAACACGUGGGUGAUCUGCCCUGCACUUCGGGAUAAGCUUGGGAAACUGGGUCUAAUACCGGAUAGGAACCAUCUUUAGUGUGGUGGUUGGAAAGUUUUUUCGGUGUAGGAUGAGCUCGCGGCCCAUCAGCUUGUUGGUGGGGUAAUGGCCUACCAAGGCGGCGACGGGUAGCCGGCCUGAGAGGGUGUACGGCCACAUUGGGACUGAGAUACGGCCCAGACUCCUACGGGAGGCAGCAGUGGGGAAUAUUGCACAAUGGGCGCAAGCCUGAUGCAGCGACGCCGCGUGGGGGAUGAAGGCCUUCGGGUUGUAAACUCCUUUCGCUAGGGACGAAGCUUUGUUGUGACGGUACCUAGAUAAGAAGCACCGGCUAACUACGUG
rnacentral:rRNA from 1 species